CGACAGCGGCGGAGGAGUGAAGAGAGGAGCCAGCUGAGUAAAUCAAAGGGGGUUUUAUUAAGGGGGUCAGCAAGGACCUCCUUACCACCUGAAGAGCGCUCUGACUGACCCGCUCUGGCUCUUGUGACAGGACAUUUUAUUGAAAUGAAGUUUGAAUGAAUUAAAAAAUAAACAAAAGACUAGAAAAUGAGAUCCGGCACAGCAUGAAAAGGAGGAAGCUUUUCUUGAAGAAGGCAAGCAAAAUGAGAAAAUUGAAAAAAGCCAGAUUACUUCAGCUGGAGGGAAGACAUCAAAACUUAAUUCUAUCAGCAAAUGUUGGAGAAAAACAGAGCGGAAGAAACUGCAAGUCCUGGACCUUUUUGUGCUGAGAAGUGAUGGAAAUGUUGCC